rnacentral:rRNA from 1 species
AGUGAACGCUGGCGGCGUGCCUAAUACAUGCAAGUCGAACGGAGUGGCGCACGGGUGAGUAAUAUAUAGCUAAUCUGCCCCUUGCUGGAGGACAACAGUUAGAAAUGACUGCUAAUACUCCAUAGGAAGGGAUGAGACUAUAUCGUAUCAGCUAGUCGGUGGGGUAACGGCGUACCGAGGCUAUGAUGCGUAACUGGUCUGAGAGGAUGAUCAGUGACAUUGGAACUGAGGCACGGUCCAAGCUCCUACGGGGGGCAGAAGUAGGGAAUAUUGCGCACUGGAAGAAGCCCUGAGGCAGCAGCGGCGCGUGGAGGAUGACACUUUUCGGAGCAUAAACUACUUUUGUUAGGAAAGCGGUACCUAACGAAUAAGCACCGGCUAACUCCGUGCCAGCAGCCGCGGUAAUAC